AUUGAACGCUGGCGGCAGGCCUAACACAUGCAAGUCGAGCGAGCGGCGGACGGGUGAGUAAUGUAUGGGGACUGCCCGAUAGAGGGGGAUAACUCCUGGAAACGGUAGCUAAUACCGCAUACUAUCGGAUAACCCAUAUGGGAUUAGCUAGUAGGUGAGGGAAUGGCUCAACUAGGCGACGAUCCCUAGCUGGUCUGAGAGGCUGAUCAGCCACACUGGGACUGAGACACGGCCCAGAAGCCUACGGAGGGAGCAGUGGGGAAUAUUGCACAAUGGGCGCAAGCCGUAUGCAGCCAUGACGCGUGUAGGAAGAAGGCCCUAGGGUUGUAAAGUACUUUCAGUCGGGAGGCGUUACCGACAGAAGAAGCACCGGCUAACUCCGUGCCAGCAGCCGCGGUAAUUC
rnacentral:rRNA from 1 species